GGCUGGGGCACCCAGAACCGGGAGUCAAGAUCUGCAAUCUCAGGACUAAGGGACAAUUCCACUCCUUUUUUCCUGAAAUGCGAGGGGUGAGAAGAGCAGGGGUGUUCUGCAGGGCCUGCUCCAUUUUCCAGGGUGAAGGAGAGGCCGAGGGAGGUAGAGCGGGAGGAGGUGGGGCUUACUGUGAAACUGGGUCAAGAUGGCCUCGGCAGGGCUACCAGGCUCUGAGGCAGCAGCUGUGGGCAGUGCCGAGGGACCAGCUCUGACGGAAAUGGAGUAGCAGCAGAUCUCUCGGUCCUGGAUGGCAGACAGAUUCCUGGGGGAAACCAGAGCACAGUCGGCUGAAGCUAUGAUCGCCCAGGGGGUCUGGGGCUAGGGGACAGCAGGGCCUUUUUCCUACUCAAGAGGCUACAAGGAGGGGGAGGCGCCUGAAAAGGUGGGCUCUUCUGCCACCGUGUGGCUAAUCCUGAGAACAGCAGCAAGCCUAAACCGUUGGUCUGGCAGUUGGGGAAUUGGGAGAGCAGAAAGUAAUAUAAAGAGCCACCCAACUCACAUUUUCUCAAUCAGCUCCUUCUCAUCCAAUGCUCCCGGGAGGUCUCGCUUGUUACCCAGGACUAAGACCUACGGAGAAGGGAGGGUGAGGAUGAGGUCUAGGGCAGCUGUGCCCAGGUUGUCUGGGUGGUGAGCUGGCCUCCUGAGCCCGUUUCCUCUCUGCGUCCCUCACCCAGGCUGGAGUGCAGUGGCAAGAUCUUGGCUCACUGCAACCUCCACCUCCCAGGUUCAAGCAAUGCUCUGCCUUAGCCUCCUGGGUAGCUGGGAUUAUAGGCACUUGCCACGGGGGUCUCACCAUCUUGGCCAGGGUGGUCUUGAACUGCUGACCUUGUGAUCCAUCCACCUCAGCCUCCCAAAGUGCUUACAGGCAUGAGCCAUCACACCUGGCCGCCAUGCUUGAUUUUUCCCUGCCCCCAGUGACUACCCAGCCGGUCUCCCUCCCCAUCCCGCUCCCUCAGGUCCGCUGACCGGGAUGCCUUGCAGCUGAGGUUUGUCCAGGAGGUUGUGAAGCUCGUUCUUAGAGGCCUCAAUCUUCUCCUGGUCAGCAGCAUCCACCAUGUACCUGGAGACAAAGGCAGGGUGGGGACAAGCAUGUUGACAUCACAGGCCGAGGUCGUGCAAGGAAGAGAAGGAGCUGCUGCUUGGAGGUGAGAGCCUCUGUGGCAGCUUGUCACCUUGGGACCCACGGGCUACCUUGCUUGGCUCAAGGCAGGUACUCCGAGGAUGUUUCUGAAUCUAUGGGAGCAAAGAGCUGCAGGGAUUCCUGGGGCCUGCCAUUAGCUUCCAAGUGCUACUCUGGGGAAGCCGUUACUCAUGUGGAAAAGCGUGGGCCCUUUAGGAUUAGCUAUAAAUCCCUCUCAAAGUGACCCACUUAUGUUUUCAUGGAAAGACUAAAUAAGGUUAGAGUGAAAAAAAGCAAAGGAAAAUCCAGAAUAUUUUGUUUAGCAAGAUACUUUUUGUUAUCAGGUUAAAAAGUAACUUACUGUUUAUUCUGAAGAAUCUAUUGUUUGAGCAUAUAUAUAUAUAUCUCAUAAAUUAUUAUUAUUAUUUUGAGGCAGUGUCUCACUCUGUCACCCAGGCUGGAGUGCAGUGGGGUGAUCUCAGCUCACUGCAACCUCUGCCUCCAGGGUUCAAGUGAUUCUCCUGCCUCAGCCUCCUGAGUAGCUGGGAUUAUAGGCACUCACCACCACCCCUGGCUAAUUUUUGUAUUUUUAGUAGAGACGGGGGUCAGGCUGGUUUCGAACUCCUGACCUCGUGAUCCACCCGCCUUGGCCUCCUAAAGUGCUGGGAUUACACGCAUGAGCCACCACGCCCGGCCUCUUAUUAUUAUUUUUUGAGGCAAGUUCUCACUCUGUCACCCAGGCUGAAGUGCAGUGGUGGGAUUACAGCUCACUGUAGCCUCGACUUCCUGGACUCAAGAGACUCUCCCACUUCAGUUGUCUGAGUAGCGGGGACUACAGGUGCGUGCCACCAGGCCCAGCUAAUUUUUGUACUUUUGUAGAGAUAAAGUUUUGCCAUGUUACCCAGGUUGGUUUUGAACUCCUGACCUCAAGUGAUCUGUUUGCCUUGGCCUCCCACUGUGCCCCACCAUUUUUCAAUGUUUAAAAUUUAUUUUAUUUUUUUAAAGACAGGAUCUUGCUAUGUUGCCUAGGCUGGCCUUAAA